GCCAGGGUGGUGUAAUGGGUAGCACAUGUGCCUCGUGAGCAGGAGACUUGGGUUCGAAUCCCAGCCUUGGUA